rnacentral:rRNA from 1 species
CACCUCUAGCUAACCUAACAAAUAUUAGAGGCACUGCCUGCCCAGUGAUAUAUUCAACGGCCGCGGUAUCCUGACCGUGCAAAGGUAGCAUAAUCACUUGUCCCUUAAAUAGAGACUAGUAUGAACGGCAACACGAAAGCCUAACUGUCUCCUUUAUCCAGUCAAUGAAACUGAUCUUCUCGUACAAAAGCGAGAAUAAAUUAACAAGACGAGAAGACCCUAUGGAACUUUAAACACAUAGUCAACUUUAUCAACAAAAGCCCACUAUAAUAAAUACUAAAACUAUGAUUACACUGUUUUCGGUUGGGGCGACCACGGAGAAAACUUAACCUCCGAGAAACAUUACUAAGAUAAAACACAACAAAGUACUAAAACAUUAAGCACAAGACCCAAUAAAAUUGAUCAACGAACCAAGCUACCCUAGGGAUAACAGCGCAAUCUUCUUCAAGAGCCCAUAUCACCAAGAAGGUUUACGACCUCGAUGUUGGAUCAGGAUUACCAGACAGUGCAACCGCCGUCAAAGGUUUGUUUGUUCAACAAUUAAAAUCCU